rnacentral:rRNA from 1 species
UACGUAGGGUGCAAGCGUUGUCCGGAAUUAUUGGGCGUAAAGAGCUCGUAGGCGGUUUGUCGCGUCUGCCGUGAAAGUCCGGGGCUCAACUCCGGAUCUGCGGUGGGUACGGGCAGACUAGAGUGAUGUAGGGGAGACUGGAAUUCCUGGUGUAGCGGUGAAAUGCGCAGAUAUCGGGAGGAACACCGGUGGCGAAGGCGGCGACCUGGGUCGAGACUGACGCUGAGGCGCGAAAGCAUGGGGAGCGAACAGG